ACAGCAGCAGCCGCGGGAAUACGUAGGGUGCGAGCGUUAGUCGGAAUUACUGGGCGUAAAGCGUGCGCAGGCGGUUAUAUAAGACAGAUGUGAAAUCCCCGGGCUCAACCUGGGACCUGCAUUUGUGACUGUAUAGCUAGAGUACGGUAGAGGGGGAUGGAAUUCCGCGUGUAGCAGUGAAAUGCGUAGAUAUGCGGAGGAACACCGAUGGCGAAGGCAAUCCCCUGGACCUGUACUGACGCUCAUGCACGAAAGCGUGGGGAGCAAACAGGAUUAGAUACCCGUGUAGUCCCUGUCUCUUAUAA
rnacentral:rRNA from 1 species